UACAGAGGUGGCAAGCGUUGUUCGGAAUUACUGGGCGUAAAGGGCGCGUAGGCGGCCAUCUAAGUCAGACGUGAAAUCCCCCGGCUUAACCUGGGAACUGCGUCUGAUACUGGACGGCUUGAGUAUGGGAGAGGGAUGUAGAAUUCCAGGUGUAGCGGUGAAAUGCGUAGAUAUCUUGAGGAACACCGGUGGCGAAGGCGGCAUUCUGGACCGAAACUGACGCUGAGGCGCGAAAGCCAGGGGAGCAAACGGG
rnacentral:rRNA from 1 species